rnacentral:sRNA from 1 species
GCUGGGUGCGGUGGCUCACACCUGUAAUCCCAGCGGCUUGGGAGGCUGAAGGCAGGAGGAUUACAAGUUCAAAGCCAGCCUCCGCAAAAGUGAGGUGCUAAACAACUCAGUGAGUCCCUGUCUCUA